rnacentral:lncRNA from 1 species
GCACAUUCUCAUAUCUCCACCUUUAGUCCUGAGUUGGUGGUUGCAUUACACGUGGAUACCAUGGUUGUCCGGGUGAACUCCACUUACAUAUGCUAGAACAUGGAUUGAGGAUAAGCUAGAACCAAUUGUCACUUAUAAAAAUACUUGCUGAUAAAUCGUAUUGCCGUACUACAAACAGAUCCGACCCGGCUUCUCUAAGGAAAGGUGGUGUGUUGGAAUUGCCUUGGAAUCUCUCUCUCUCUCUCUCUCUUUUCUUUGGUACAAUGACAAGAAUAAUUAAAACAAAACAUAUAAUCAUCAAAACAAAAUAAUCAAAAAUAAAAAAAACAAACAUCUGAAGUGUCAGAUGCUAGAAGAGGAAAAAAAUCUAGAAGAACAGACGAUCAAUCUGUAGAUCAAUCAAUGAAGUUAAAUUUACAAACUAAUUCACCACUUGAUUUGUUUCUCUAAAAUCAUAUUGGAUAUGGAAGAAUUCAAGAAAGAGAAUGAGGUAAAAUAUAUCAGAGAGA